AUACGAACCGUACGAACGUUAUUCGGAAUCACUGGGCUUAAAGAGUGCGUAGGCGGCUCAGAAAGUUGGGUGUGAAAUCCCUCGGCUCAACCGAGGAAUUGCGCUCAAAACUACUGAGCUUGAGGGAGGCAGAGGUGAGCGGAACUAAUGGUGGAGCGGUGAAAUGCGUUGAUAUCAUUAGGAACACCUGAGGCGAAAGCAGCUCACUGGGCCUCUUCUGACGCUGAGGCACGAAAGCUAGGGUAGC
rnacentral:rRNA from 1 species